ensembl:lncRNA
GUGUGUAGUGUAUAAUGUAGUGUAGUGUGUAGUGUAGUGUGUAGUUGUAGUGUGUAGUGUAUAAUGUAGUGUUAUGUUGUGUAGUGUAGUGUGUAGUGUACUGUAGUGUACUGUAGUGUUAUGUAGUGUAUAAUGUAGUGUUGUGUAGUGUGUAGUGUACUGUAGUGUAGUGUUAUGUAGUGUAUAAUGUAGUGUUGUGUGUAGUGUGUAGUCAUGUUAUGUAGUGUUAUAUGUAAUUAUAUGUAGUGUAGUGUAGUGUUAUGUAGUGUAUAAUGUAGUGUAGUGUAGUGUGUAGUGUUAUGUAGUGUGUAUAAUGUAGUGUAGUGUGUAGUGUAUAAUGUAGUGUAGUGUUAUGUAGUGUAUAAUGUAGUGUUAUGUAGUGUGUAGUGUAUAAUGUAGUGUAGUGUGUAGUGUAGUGUUAUGUAGUGUAUAAUGUAGUGUAGUGUGUAGUGUUAUGUAGUGUGUAUAAUGUAGUGUAGUGUGUAGUGUAUAAUGUAGUGUAGUGUUAUGUAGUGUAUAAUGUAGUGUUAUGUAGUGUGUAGUGUAUAAUGUAGUGUAGUGUGUAGUGUAGUGUUAUGUAGUGUAGUGUGUAGUGUAGUUGUGUAGUGUAUAAUGUAGUGUAGUGUGUAGUGUAGUGUUAUGUAGUGUAGUGUGUAGUGUAUAAUGUAGUGUAGUGUGUAGUGUAGUGUUAUGUUGUGUAGUGUGUAGUGUAUAAUGUAGUGUAGUGUUAUGUAGUGUAGUGUAUAAUGU